rnacentral:rRNA from 1 species
GAUGAACGCUGGCGGCGUGCCUAACACAUGCAAGUCGAACGGAGAUUCCGGACGGAAGUUUUCGGAUGGAAGACUGUAAUUCUUAGUGGCGGACGGGUGAGUAACGCGUGGGCAACCUGCCCUAUACAGGGGGAUAGCAGCUGGAAACGGCUGGUAAGACCGCAUAAGUCGGCGAGACCGCAUGGUUUUGCCGGGAAAUGAGCAAUCAGGUAUAGGAUGGGCCCGCGUCCGAUUAGCCAGUUGGCAGUGUAAAAGCCUACCAAAGCAACGAUCGGUAGCCGGAAGGAGAGGUCGGACGGCCACAUUGGGACUGAGACACGGCCCAAACCCCUACGGGAGGGAGCAGUAGGGGAUAUUGCGCAAUGGAGGCAACUCUGAUGCAGCGACGCCGCGUGAGUGAAGAAGUAUUUCGGUAUGUAAAGCUCUAUCAGCAGGGAAGAUGAUGACGGUACCUGACUAAGAAGCCCCGGCUAACUACGUG